GACGAACGCUGGCGGCGUGCUUAACACAUGCAAGUCGAACGGAAAGGCCCUGCUUGCAGGGUGCUCGAGUGGCGAACGGGUGAGUAACACGUGGGUGAUCUGCCCCUUACUUUGGGAUAAGCCUGGGAAACUGGGUCUAAUACUGGAUAGGACCAUGCUGUAGGUGGCGUGGUGGAAAGAUUAGUUUCGGUAAGGGAUGAGCUCGCGGCCUAUCAGCUUGUUGGUGGGGUAAUGGCCUACCAAGGCGUCGACGGGUAGCCGGCCUGAGAGGGUGGACGGCCACAUUGGGACUGAGAUACGGCGCAGACGCCUACGGGGGGCAGCAGUGGGGAAGAUUGCACAAUGGGGGCAAGCCUGAUGCAGCGACGCCGCGUGGGGGAUGACGGCCUUCGGGUUGUAAACUCCUUUCAGCCAUGACGAAGCCCUUGUGGUGACGGUAGUGGUAGAAGAAGCACCGGCUAACUACGUG
rnacentral:rRNA from 1 species